UACGUAGGGUGCAAACGUUGUUCGGAUUUACUGGGCGUAAAGCGCGUGUAGGCGGCUUUGCAAGUCGGAUGUGAAAUCCCACGGCUCAACCGUGGAAGUGCAUCCGAAACUGCAUCGCUGGAGUCUCGGAGAGGAAGGUGGAAUGCUUGGUGUAGAGGUGAAAUUCGUAGAUAUCAAGCAGAACACCUGCGGCGAAGGCGGCCUUCUGGACGAUGACUGACGCUGAGACGCGAAAGCGUGGGGAGCAAACAGG
rnacentral:rRNA from 1 species